AUGGCAGUGAACAGAUAUUCAACGUCAGUCACCAGUGAUAACCGAAGUCGACAUGACAUGCUGGCCUGGAUCAAUGAGUCUCUGCAGUUGAACCUCACAAAGAUUGAACAGUUGUGCUCAGGAGCUACCUAUUGUCAGUUUAUGGACAUGCUGUUCCCUGGCUCCAUUGCCUUGAAGAAAGUGAAAUUCCAAGCUAAGCUAGAACAUGAGCACAUCCAGAACUUCAAGAUACUUCAAGCAGGUUUUAAGAGAAUGGGUGUUGACAAAAUAAUUCCUGUGGAUAAGUUAGUAAAAGGAAAAUUUCAGGACAAUUUUGAAUUUGUUCAGUGGUUCAAGAAGUUUUUUGAUGCAAACUGUGAUGGAAAAGACUAUGACCCUGUGGCUGCCAGACAAGGUCAAGAAGCUGCAGUGGCUCCCUCCCUUGUUGCUCCAGCACUGAAUAAACCGAAGAAACCUCUCAGCUCUAGCAGUCCAGCUCCCCAGAGGCCCAUUUCAACACAGAGGAUGCUGCAGCUACUAAGGCUGGCCCUGGGGUGGUGCGAAAGAAUGCCGGUGUGGGCGACGGGGAUGACAAGGCCGCUGAGUGGAUGCAGCAGGUCAACGUAUUGAAACUUACUGUGAAAGACUUGGAGAAAGAGAGAGAUUUCUGCUUUGGAAAGCUAAGGAACAUUGAACUGAUUUGCCAGGAGAACGAGGGGGGAAACAGCCCUUUAUUGCAGAGGACUGGAGACAUUCUCUAUGCCACAGAUGAAGGCUUUGUGAUACCUGAUGAAGGGGGCCCACAAGAAGAGCAGGAAGAGUAUUAACAGCCCGGACCAGAAGAGCAACAUCUGAAUUCUUCACUCCAAAUCAUGUGCUUAACUGCAAAAUACUCCCUUUUAUUCUUAGAGGACUCACUGGUCUCUUUUCAUAAGCAAAAAGUACCUCUUCUUAAAGUGCACUUUGCAGAAGUUUCACUCCUUUUCUGAUAAGUUUGAGUUAGGAGGUUUUACCUUGUAGCAGAGCAGUAUCAACAUCUAGUUGGUUCACCUGAGAAACAGAAAGGCUCACCGUGGGGCUCACCGUUGUGGAUGCUGGUCACACUGGUCGCUGGAGAAGGUGUUAUGAGUAUGCUGAGGGGGUAACCUCAGGAGAGAAAUGUAAAGACUGAAUUGAAUUUUAAGCUAAUGUGAAAUUAGAGAGUGUUGUGAAAAAUAAAUGCCUUCAGAGUAUUUAAAAUACGCUUCCAUAUUUCAAAAUAUAAAAUAUAACACGAUGGGAGAUUUGACGUGUUUGGCAUUGUGUCUGGGAAGAAAGGGCCAGACCUUGGGACCUUUGGAGUCUGCUGUCACAGGCCUUAGGGGCUGCUUGAAUCCUCAUAGGCCUGGGCUUUGGUCCGAGAGGAAUGUUUAAAAAUUGCUCUGUAGAUCCAUUGGUGUCUUUGACCAAUUGCAUCCCUGCCAAAAAGCAAGAGGCAUUGUUGCCUUGAUGAAUAGAGGGUGUGUUUCAGCCCUGAGAGGUUUGGGUUGAAGAGCUUGAUUUU